rnacentral:rRNA from 1 species
GACGAACGCUGGCGGCGUGCUUAACACAUGCAAGUCGAACGCUGAAGCUUGGUGCUUGCACUGGGUGGAUGAGUGGCGAACGGGUGAGUAAUACGUGAGUAACCUGCCCUUGACUCUGGGAUAAGCCUGGGAAACUGGGUCUAAUACUGGAUACGACAUGUCACCGCAUGGUGGUGUGUGGAAAGGGCUUUACUGGUUUUGGAUGGGCUCACGGCCUAUCAGCUUGUUGGUGGGGUAAUGGCUCACCAAGGCGACGACGGGUAGCCGGCCUGAGAGGGUGACCGGCCACACUGGGACUGAGACACGGCCCAGACUCCUACGGGAGGCAGCAGUGGGGAAUAUUGCACAAUGGGCGGAAGCCUGAUGCAGCGACGCCGCGUGAGGGAUGACGGCCUUCGGGUUGUAAACCUCUUUCAGCACGGAAGAAGCGAAAGUGACGGUACGUGCAGAAGAAGCGCCGGCUAACUACGUG